rnacentral:rRNA from 1 species
GAUGAACGCUGGCGGCGUGCCUAAUACAUGCAAGUCGAGCGAAUGGAUUAAGAGCUUGCUCUUAUGAAGUUAGCGGCGGACGGGUGAGUAACACGUGGGCAACCUGCCCAUAAGACUGGGAUAACUCCGGGAAACCGGGGCUAAUACCGGAUAACAUUUUGAACCGCAUGGUUCGAAAUUGAAAGGCGGCUUCGGCUGUCACUUAUGGAUGGACCCGCGUCGCAUUAGCUAGUUGGUGAGGUAACGGCUCACCAAGGCAACGAUGCGUAGCCGCCCGGAGAGGGUGAUCCGCCACACCGGGACUGGGACACGGCCGAGUCUCCUACGCGAGGCAGCAGUAGGGAGUCUACCGCAAUGGACGAAGGUCUGACGGAGCAACGCCGCAUGAGUGAUGAAGGCUUUCGGGUCGUAAAACUCUGUUGUUAGGGAAGAACAAGUGCUAGUUGAAGAGGCUGGCGCCUUGACGGUACCUAACCAGAAAGCCACGGCUAACUACGUGCCAGCAGCCGCCGUAA